rnacentral:rRNA from 1 species
UAAAUACGUGCCAGCAGCCGCGGUAAUACGUAUGUCCCGAGCGUUAUCCGGAUUUAUUGGUCGUAAAGCGAGCGCAGACGGUUUAUUAAGUCUGAUGUGAAAGCCCGGAGCUCAACUCCGGAAUGGCAUUGGAAACUGGUUAACUUGAGUGCAGUAGAGGUAAGUGGAACUCCAUGUGUAGCGGUGGAAUGCGUAGAUAUAUGGAAGAACACCAGUGGCGAAGGCGGCUUACUGGACUGCAACUGACGUUGAGGCUCGAAAGUGUGGGUAGCAAACAGGAUUAGAUACCCUGGUAGUCCACACCGUAAACGAUGAACACUAGGUGUUAGGAGGUUUCCGCCUCUUAGUGCCGAAGCUAACGCAUUAAGUGUUCCGCCUGGGGAGUACGACCGCAAGGUUGAAACUCAAAGGAAUUGACGGGGACCCGCACAAGCGGUGGAGCAUGUGGUUUAAUUCGAAGCAACGCGAAGAACCUUACCAGGUCUUGACAUCCUUUGAAGCUUUUAGAGAUAGAAGUGUUCUCUUCGGAGACAAAGUGACAGGUGGUGCAUGGUCGUCGUCAGCUCGUGUCGUGAGAUGUUGGGUUAAGUCCCGCAACGAGCGCAACCCUUAUUGUUAGUUGCCAGCAUUCAGAUGGGCACUCUAGCGAGACUGCCGGUGACAAACCGGAGGAAGGCGGGGACGACGUCAGAUCAUCAUGCCCCUUAUGACCUGGGCUACACACGUGCUACAAUGGCGUAUACAACGAGUUGCCAGCCCGCGAGGGUGAGCUAAUCUCUUAAAGUACGUCUCAGUUCGGAUUGUAGUCUGCAACUCGACUACAUGAAGUCGGAAUCGCUAGUAAUCGCGGAUCAGCACGCCGCGGUGAAUACGUUCCCGGGUCUUGUACACACCGCCCGUCACACCAUGGGAGUUUGUAAUGCCCAAAGCCGGUGGCCUAACCUUUAGGAAGGAGCCUUUAAAGC